GGGCGUGCCGGAGAUACUGGUGUAUCUUGAGACCGGGAGGAGUCAGAAGUAUGCCUAAGGGAGCGGUAAAAUGCUGUAAUCUUAGGUAGACUACCGGUGGCGAAGGCGUCUGACUAGAACGGGUCUGACGGUGAGGGAUGAAAGCUAGGGGAGCGAGCCGGAUUAGAUAUCAAGAACCAUUGGUUUUUGAGUCUUUCAAAAAUCUUUGAUUUUUGACUAGAUACCCGGGUAGUCCUAGCCGUAAACGCUGCCCGCUUGGUGUUGCAUAUUCUACAGGAGUAUGCAGUGCCGUAGCGAAGGCGUUAAGCAGGCCGCUUGGGAAGUAUGGUCGCAAGGCUGAAACUUAAAGGAAUUGGCGGGGGAGCACUACAAGGGGUGGAUGCUGCGGUUUAAUUGGAUUCUACGCCGGGAACCUUACCAGAAGCGACAGCAGGAUGAAGGUCAUAUUGAAGGUAUUACUCGACACGCUGAGAGGUGGUGCAUGGCCGCCGUCAGCUCGUGCCGUGAGGUGUUCGGUUAAGUCCGAGAACGAGCGAGACCUAUGCCCUCUGUUGCUAAUGUUCUCAAAGAGAGCAAGCACACCGAGGGGACUGCCUGCGUAAGCA
rnacentral:rRNA from 1 species